CAGCAGCCGCGGUAAUACGAAGAGGGCUAGCGUUGUUCGGAUUUACUGGGCGUAAAGCGCACGUAGGCGGAUCGAUCAGUCAGGGGUGAAAUCCUGGAGCUCAACUCCAGAACUGCCUUUGAUACUGUCGAUCUCGAGUCCGGAAGAGGUGAGUGGAACUCCUAGUGUAGAGGUGGAAUUCGUAGAUAUUAGGAAGAACACCAGUGGCGAAGGCGGCUCACUGGUCCGGUACUGACGCUGAGGUGCGAAAGCGUGGGGAGCAAACAGGAUUAGAGACCCGAGUAGUCCCUGUCUCUUAUAC
rnacentral:rRNA from 1 species